CUAAUAAAUUGUUAUGUUUUGAAUUAUUCAAACUAGAGUUCGUGUUAUUAUCUCUAGUAGAUUGUGGUAAUUUCAUAACACCACAAGCCCCUGUACAGGUUAGUAGCGGACUAAAACACGGUAGACGGAGCAUUGCGGCACACUAUACGAUGUCUUUAGAGCUUCGACUAACACAUUGGCAUUAAUUCAUGUAUACUUAGACUGUAAAAGGAUAUCUUAGGGGAUAGUCCUUCGCCUGUUAAACUUAUAAUACUAUUUAGAUAGUAUAGUGAUUAUUCAAAGUUACUAAUAGUUUAAAUACGACUGGUCUGCUUAAUUCUAUAGAAAUUAUCA
ensembl:processed_transcript